rnacentral:rRNA from 1 species
GACGAACGCUGGCGGCGUGCUUAACACAUGCAAGUCGAACGGUGAAGCGCCUUCCUUUUUGGUGGGUGUGGAUGAGUGGCGAACGGGUGAGUAACACGUGAGUAACCUGCCCCCUUCUUCUGGAUAACCGCAUGAAAGUGUGGCUAAUACUGGAUAUUCUGGUUCUGUCGCAUGAUGGGUCUUGGUAACAUUUUGUUUCGGUGGGGGAUGGGCUCGCGGCCUAUCAGCUUGUUGGUGGGGUGAUGGCCUACCAAGGCGGUGACGGGUAGCCGGCCUGAGAGGAUGGACGGCCACACUGGGACUGAGACCCGGACCAGACUCAUACGGGCGGCAGCCGUGGGGAUUAGUGAACAAUGGGCGCAAGCCUGAUGCAGCGACGCCGCGUGAGGGAUGGAGGCCUUCGGGUUGAGAACCUCUUUCGCCGGUGAAGCAGGCCUGCCUCGUUUGUGGGUGGGUUGACGGUAGCUGGAGAAGAAGCGCCGGCUAACUACGUG